rnacentral:rRNA from 1 species
UGCGUAGGCGGAAUAAUAAGUCAGUGGUGAAAUCCUGUGGCUCAACCACAGAACUGCCAUUGAUACUGUUAUUCUUGAAUAUAGUUGAGGUAGGCGGAAUGUGUAAUGUAGCGGUGAAAUGCUUAGAUAUUACACAGAACACCGAUUGCGAAGGCAGCUUGCUAAACUAUUAUUGACGCUGAGGCACGAAAGCGUGGGGAGCGAACAGGAUUAGAUACCCGAGUAGUCC